rnacentral:lncRNA from 1 species
CACCAACCAAGCCACCACAGGACAUGGUGCUCAAUGCAGUGCAUGUGAGAACCUUCAGCAGAAUGACACAUCAAAAUCAUGUGCACAACUACAUUCUGCCUUCCGUGCUGCAUACAUGACAAAUCAGAAGCAAUUGCUAGCCAUGUAUCCAGGUUCAGCUUUCCAAGUUGUGAGGGAACAACAACAGCUCUAACAACACCCAUCUUAGUCCAAAAUCCAUUUCUGUUUUCUGCCAACAUGUCUAACAAAACGGGACCCCAGAAGAUGACAGUUUGAUCCAUCGACCUGCAGUCUACCUCAUCAUUCAUGUAUUCAUUAAUAAACUAUUUCCUAAU